UACGGAGGGUGCGAGCGUUAAUCGGAAUAACUGGGCGUAAAGCGCACGCAGGCGGGUUGUUAAGUGAGAUGUGAAAUCCCCGGGCUCAACCUGGGAACAGCAUUUGAGACUGGCAAGCUAGAGUACUGUAGGGGGGGGUAGAAUUCCAGGUGUAGCGGUGAAAUGCGUAGAGAUCUGGAGGAAUACCGGUGGCGAAGGCGGCCCCUUGGGCAGAGACUGACGCUCAGGUGCGAAAGCGUGGGGAGCAAACAGG
rnacentral:rRNA from 1 species